rnacentral:SRP_RNA from 1 species
GUGUGCUAGGCGGGGAGGUAGCGGUGCCCUGAACCUGCAACCCGCUCCAGCAGGGCUGAAUUCCUGCCCGAGGGGCGCGACUGUGAGGCAGCGCCGGGCAAGCAGUGUUGAGGGCUGGGUCCUGUGCAAUGGCGGCUCGUGAACCCCGUCAGGUCCGGAAGGAAGCAGCGGUAAGCGAUACCCGUCAUGUGCCGCAGGGGUGCCUGGCCUGAGCCGGCUACCCGGUGGCGCUCGGAAUCGUUGUCUCAACGGCAGGUGCA